CCGUUAAACUUAACCGUUUACGU
rnacentral:rRNA from 1 species